rnacentral:rRNA from 1 species
GACGAACGCUGGCGACGUGCUUAACACAUGCAAGUCGAACGGAAAGGCCCUGCUUUUGUGGGGUGCUCGAGUGGCGAACGGGUGAGUAACACGUGAGUAACCUGCCCUUGACUUUGGGAUAACUUCAGGAAACUGGGGCUAAUACCGGAUAGGAGCUCCUGCUGCAUGGUGGGGGUUGGAAAGUUUCGGCGGUUGGGGAUGGACUCGCGGCUUAUCAGCUUGUUGGUGGGGUAGUGGCUUACCAAGGCUUUGACGGGUAGCCGGCCUGAGAGGGUGACCGGCCACAUUGGGACUGAGAUACGGCCCAGACUCCUACGGGAGGCAGCAGUGGGGAAUAUUGCACAAUGGGCGGAAGCCUGAUGCAGCAACGCCGCGUGCGGGAUGACGGCCUUCGGGUUGUAAACCGCUUUCGCCUGUGGCGAAGCGUGAGUGACGGUAAUGGGUAAAGAAGCACCGGCUAACUACGUG